GCGGGAAGGACAGCCUCCUAUUCUCAUAAUUAUGGUACUCAUUACCAAGGCAACCAGGACUCAGCGUGUACUCACUCUGUCCACAAGGACUAUAUACAAUACUUCCUACACAAAGACAAACUGGCUGUCGUCCAGUCGGACACAGUUGACUUAUUGGAUGUACUAGUUUCCCUGAGGACCAUUUAUAAUUAUAGUGAGCUAAGUUCUGAGAAACUUGUUUAUGGUUGCCACCCUUGGCACACCAACAGUCUGUGGCAGUAAUAAAGAAAUGGCUUCUUUGCACAGAUUGGAGGGUGUGUUCUACGUAUUGGACAGAAUCUGGAGCGGUACAGGCUGGAACCAGUCGCUCACACCAUUGACGACCAUAAUGCCAACUCUAUAUAAGGAAUCAAAUCAUGAUCAUGCAUCCACGUAUUAAUAAUUAUAUGCGUAUGAUUACCAGUGAG